CAGUAUGGCCAUGCCAACCCUGAACGUGCCUGAUCUCGUCAGAUCUUGGAAGCUAAGCAGGGUUGGGCCUGGUUAGUACUUGGAUGGGAGAACACCUAGGAAGACCAGGUGCUGUAGGCG
rnacentral:rRNA from 1 species